UCAAUAAGGUUUUGGAUUGCUUUGGUUUGAGUCAAUCCAUUAAUUUUGACCCAUUUUGACAUCCCUAGUUUUGGGUAAUCCAUUUCUCUUCAAUGGCGGAGAUCUAAACGAACUUGGUUAUGGUGCUGAAUUCAACAGCUCUAGGGUUUUCUUCUUUCUCCCUUUCUUAUUAUCUCAAGGCAGUGAUGGGAUGGAUUUGUCUAAGGUUGGUGAAAAAUUCCUCGGCUUUGUUAAAUCUGUUACUUCGCUUGGUCUCUUACCUUCUGCUUCUUUCUCUCAUCAUCCUGAGGUAAUCUCCGAUUCGUAACAUCAAUGGAGUUUGUUUUUAAGAGAAUUGAAAUUAUUUUUUAAGUGUGGAGAUUAAAAAAUCCAUCUUAUUGUAAAUUCUAGCAUGUGUUGCAGUUGCUGCUGCGGUUGCUCGUCUUGCCACUCUGUAAGCAUUCAUUUUUAAAUCUCCAUUUAGCUUUCUCGACAAAGGAACGAAAUUGUCAUCUCUACUACCUCUUCUCCGACUUGAGAAUUGAGAGAUGGAUGAUAAACUCCGAUUUGUUAGCCUUUUUUCUUUUAGUUCUCAGUCAAUCUCGUCAUCCUCAAUGCUUGUGUUAAAUUUCAAUCAUCAUCUGUCUAUUCAUUCUCAUUUCCUAGAUUUUUUUCUGAUAUGUUUGUGUAGCAAUUCUUAGUACAAUAGCUUGAUCCAGAAUAUUAGAUAUGAUGCGAUUUGUUUAAACAUUGUUAUGGUAUGUUACAAUUGAGGUUCUUUAAAGGUUUAUGAUUAGGGUAUAUUCAAAAACUGGGUUCCAAGUAGCCUCAUUGGUAUUGCUUUGGGUCUUUAUGUAUUAUGUUCUAAGAUAAAUCAAAAACUGGGCUUAUCUGUUGACAUUAAAAGAGUAACUAACAUUUCAAAUGCUGGUCCAUUGUCAUUUUUCUUAAUUGUUAAUUGCAUAUGUGUUUAGCACUUGACUUGUUUUACAUGUUGGCCCUAUUUCUCUGGCUGUUUUCCCUCCAAAAAAUCAUGAUUUCUUACUUAUGCUUAUAUUUUGUCCUUAUACAACAUUACCGUGAGAACAUGAUGAUGUGGGUAUUUGGCUUAUGGCUCUCUUGUGUGGAACUAAUGAUUUCACUACGAUGAGAAAGUGUUAGGUUUCAUCAAGGGAUAUAAACGUGUCUAUGACUUUGGUAACUCUAUAGUCUUUGGUUAAGGCUUUCACUAUGAAGCCGGAAAACAAGUCACAAACCAAACCAUAAGUGUUUAAUUAACCAAACCAUGUUCUUUGGGGUCACUACAUCAGUGACAAGCUAGGACAAAGAUGAGACUUGCUGAAGUUUAAUUUUGGAGGACUUCCCAAUACUUGCCAUGGUCUUUACUACUGCAAUGUCUUAAGUGGCGUCAUUAGAGGAGCUUUGGAAAUGGUUUUGAUGACAUGGACGUGUGAUGUUCUUCGAGGGGAUGAUGCUUAUGAGUUGCAGGAGAAGCUACUGAAACAAGUCGCAGAGGAGUACAACGACGAUGAACAAUUUGUUCAAAAUUACAAAUUUGUGCAAGGAACAAACUGAAUGUACAAUGGACUACAAUAAAACCCAAUACUAGCAAACUUUUUCUAAAGACCAAAUAAUUAUUUAGCUUGUGAUAAGAGCGUUUAGUGGAGCAGACGAGCAGCCGCUGCUUCUAUACCAUAUACACGAUAUACUUGUGAGUUGGUAUGUAUCUUUUUAAAUAAUGUUGGCCGACCAAACAAGUUAAAAAUAGAAACUUCGAUUA